UUCCUACGGGAGGCAGCAGUGGGGAAUAUUGCACAAUGGGGGAAACCCUGAUGCAGCGACGCCGCGUGAGUGAAGAAGUAUUUCGGUAUGUAAAGCUCUAUCAGCAGGGAAGAAAUAGCGACCUUUGGGUCGCCAGACGGUACCUGAUUAAGAAGCCCCGGCUAACUACGUGCCAGCAGCCGCGGUAAUACGGAGGAUGCGAGCGUUAUCCGGAUUUAUUGGGUUUAAAGGGUGCGUAGGCGGUCCGUUAAGUCAGCGGUAAAAUUGCGGGGCUCAACCCCGUCGAGCCGUUGAAACUGGCAGAC
rnacentral:rRNA from 1 species